GAUUCCCUGAGUAGCGGCGAGCGAAACGGGAUUAGCCCAAACCAAGAGGCUUGCCUCUUGGGGUUGUAGGACACUCUGUACGGAGUUACAAAAGAACGAGGUAGAUGAAGAGGUCUGGAAAGGCCCGCCAUAGGAGGUAACAGCCCUGUAGUCAAAACUUCGUUCUCUCCUGAGUGGAUCCUGAGUACGGCGGAACACGUGAAAUUCCGUCGGAAUCCGGGAGGACCAUCUCCCAAGGCUAAAUACUCCCUAGUGACCGAUAGUGAACCAGUACCGUGAGGGAAAGGUGAAAAGCACCCCGGAAGGGGAGUGAAAGAGAUCCUGAAACCGUGUGCCUACAAGUAGUCAGAGCCCGUUAACGGGUGAUGGCGUGCCUUUUGUAGAAUGAACCGGCGAGUUACGAUCCCGUGCAAGGUUAAGCAGAAGAUGCGGAGCCGCAGCGAAAGCGAGUCUGAAUAGGGCGCAUGAGUACGUGGUCGUAGACCCGAAACCAGGUGAUCUACCCAUGUCCAGGGUGAAGUUCAGGUAACACUGAAUGGAGGCCCGAACCCACGCACGUUGAAAAGUGCGGGGAUGAGGUGUGGGUAGGGGUGAAAUGCCAAUCGAACCUGGAGAUAGCUGGUUCUCUCCGAAAUAGCUUUAGGGCUAGCCUCAAGGUAAGAGUCUUGGAGGUAGAGCACUGAUUGGACUAGGGGCCCCUACCGGGUUACCGAAUUCAGUCAAACUCCGAAUGCCAAUGACUUAUCCUUGGGAGUCAGACUGCGAGUGAUAAGAUCCGUAGUCGAAAGGGAAA
rnacentral:rRNA from 2 species